rnacentral:rRNA from 1 species
AUGCUGCUCUGCAACUUUUUGGGGGGUCUUGAAUGUGAUCUACUAUUUGCGGGUAGGAAAUCUUUGUUGGUGCAUAGGACUGGAGGCAAAAGUGGUAGCAGCAGCAAUUAUUAUCGCCGGCCAGCCGUGGGAGUGGAAGUGGGUGGCGCGAGACAAACGAGCGCUUUGUCCUCACGUGACCUCACCUCGCUUUUCCCACUAUUAUAA